rnacentral:rRNA from 1 species
CCUACGGGAGGCAGCAGUGGGGGAUAUUGGACAAUGGGGGGAACCCUGAUCCAGCGACGCCGCGUGAGUGAAGAAGUAUUUCGGUAUGUAAAGCUCUGUCAGCAGGGAAGAAAGAAAUGACGGUACCUGACCAAGAAGCCCCGGCUAACUACGUGCCAGCAGCCGCGGUAAUACGUAGGGGGCAAGAGUUAUCCGGAAUUACUGGGUGUAAAGGGAGAGUAGACGGUUAAGUAAGUCUGGAGUGAAAGGCCGGGGCCGAACCCCGGGACUGCUCUGGAAACUAGUGAACUUGAGUGCGGGAGAGGUAAGCGGAAUGCCUGGUGUAGCGGUGAAAUGCGUAGAUAUUAGGAGGAACUCCAGUGGCGAAGGCGGCUUACUGGACUGUAACUGACGUUGAGGCUCGAAAGCGUGGGGAGCAAACAGGAUUAGAUACCCGGGUAGUC